AUUGAACGCUGGCGGCAUGCCUUACACAUGCAAGUCGAACGGUAACGCGGGGCAACCUGGCGACGAGUGGCGAACGGGUGAGUAAUGUAUCGGAACGUGCCCAGUUGUGGGGGAUAACUGCUCGAAAGAGCAGCUAAUACCGCAUACGACCUGAGGGUGAAAGCGGGGGAUCGCAAGACCUCGCGCAAUUGGAGCGGCCGAUAUCAGAGUAGGUAGUUGGUGGGGUAAAGGCCCACCAAGCCAACGAUCUGUAGCUGGUCUGAGAGGACGACCAGCCACACUGGGACUGAGACACGGCCCAGACUCCUACGGGAGGCAGCAGUGGGGAAUUUUGGACAAUGGACGCAAGUCUGAUCCAGCCAUGCCGCGUGCGGGAAGAAGGCCUUCGGGUUGUAAACCGCUUUUGUCAGGGAAGAAAAGGGCGACUCUAAUACAGUUGCCUCAUGACGGUACCUGAAGAAUAAGCACCGGCUAACUACGUGCCAGCCGCCGCGGUAAGAC
rnacentral:rRNA from 1 species